rnacentral:rRNA from 1 species
AGCCACAGCCAUAUCCCCCUGCACCUCACUCAAGCUAAGCAGGGCUGAGCCUGGUCAGUCCCUGGAAGGGAGACCACAUGGUAAAACUGGGUUGCUGUUGGAA